rnacentral:rRNA from 1 species
AGACCCGAAACCCGGUGAUCUAGCCAUGGGCAGGUUGAAGGUUGGGUAACACUAACUGGAGGACCGAACCGACUAAUGUUGAAAAAUUAGCGGAUGACCUGUGGCUGGGGGUGAAAGGCCAAUCAAACCGGGAGAUAGCUGGUUCUCCCCGAAAGCUAUUUAGGUAGCGCCUCGUGAAUUCAUCUCCGGGGGUAGAGCACUGUUUCGGCUAGGGGGCCAUCCCGGCUUACCAACCCGAUGCAAACUGCGAAUACCGGAGAAUGUUAUCACGGGAGACACACGGCGGGUGCUAACGUCCGUCGUGAAGAGGGAAACAACCCAGACCGCCAGCUAAGGUCCCAAAGUCAUGGUUAAGUGGGAAACGAUGUGGGAAGGCCCAGACAGCCAGGAUGUUGGCUUAGAAGCAGCCAUCAUUUAAAGAAAGCGUAAUAGCUCACUGGUCGAGUCGGCCUGCGCGGAAGAUGUAACGGGGCUAAACCAUGCACCGAAGCUGCGGCAGCGAACGUAUCACUUAAAGCGAUUCAGCGGAUGACGAUUGA